GAUGAACGCUGGCGGCGUGCCUAAUACAUGCAAGUCGAGCGAACAGACGAGGAGCUUGCUCCUCUGACGUUAGCGGCGGACGGGUGAGUAACACGUGGAUAACCUACCUAUAAGACUGGGAUAACUUCGGGAAACCGGAGCUAAUACCGGAUAAUAUAUUGAACCGCAUGGUUCAAUAGUGAAAGACGGUUUUGCUGUCACUUAUAGAUGGAUCCGCGCCGCAUUAGCUAGUUGGUAAGGUAACGGCUUACCAAGGCAACGAUGCGUAGCCGACCUGAGAGGGUGAUCGGCCACACUGGAACUGAGACACGGUCCAGACUCCUACGGGAGGCAGCAGUAGGGAAUCUUCCGCAAUGGGAGAAAGCCUGACGGAGCAACGCCGCGUGAGUGAUGAAGGUAUUCGGAUCGUAAAACUCUGUUAUUAGGGAAGAACAAAUGUGUAAGUAACUAUGCACGUCUUGACGGUACCUAAUCAGAAAGCCACGGCUAACUACGUG
rnacentral:rRNA from 1 species